rnacentral:lncRNA from 1 species
AAUGCCACAUGAAAAAACCCGUGACGGCCUUCUCUCUGACUCCUGUAAGUUUGCCCUGGACCGGAGGAGAGCUCUGACCCUUUCACCUGAGAUCAGACGUGACAGCUGUCAGUCUGAAAGUCCUCUUAAGAUCCCCAGGAGAGUUUCCACAGCUGAGGAUGAGUGUGUGGAUACAGAGAUGUCAAAAGAUUGGAAAAAGAGCCACUCCAAGAUCCACUGGACACAAUUGGCCUCAAAUGGUACAUCCUCGCAGUCAGAUCCAAAAUCACAAAAAAACUUUGAUCAAUGGAAGGAAAUCUACAGGCAGGAUAAGCAAUAUAUUGAAAUCAUAUAGCAGGUGGAUGUGUCUGCUGCGCACUUGCCGACACAGCCGUCAAGUCAUGGUGGUCUUAGAAGAUGUCCUUCAGACAGAGAUUGGGCAGAGAUUGCUGAGAUGUGGUGGGCAGAGUUGCCAAAAGACGAACCAUUCAGAGAGCAAAAGGCAGAGUGAUCACACCUCAACAGCUGCACUCAAAGACAAGAGGAGAACCAGUCUAACAAAAAGAGAAGAGAAAGACUCUGCUGGACCAAAAGCCACUUCACCAUCCCAUAAUCAGACUGAAUCAUCUGCUGAAAAUGAAUCACGUCUACACAAAGAAAUCCAAAUUCCAAAAUCCAAACAACUGAACUCAUCACUGAAACUAUUAGAGGCAUCUGAAGUAUCAGGUAACUCUUGUUCACCCAGAGAAAGUGACUCACCACAGGCUAAACAGACCAAACCAUCUACUUUUGAAGAGAAUGAAGUAUUACUUCUUGAAGGAUCUCCACAGCAUGAGGAAGCACUUUCCUCUGGAUGUGAAUUUAUAUGCAGCCCCUCAUCACUGUUAGCAACGCGGGGUAGUCUGAAAGAGGAAAAAUCAGGUAGCGAGCAUCUAGCCAAUAAGAAAGAAAGGAGAGAAACACAAGAGAGCCCAAAAUAUGCUUCAGAAAAUAAGGAAAAUCACUUGCUCAGGAAUGGAGAGGUGGUGCAGGAAGUGGAUGGAAUGAGAGGAAGUGUGUUACGCCUCUCAGUCGGGGUUGAUGGGGAGAUCCCGGUCAAAAGAUGUCGUAUGGGCAGCCUUUCAGGUGAACAUGUUCCCAACUCAGACCCUGCCUCUGGGAGAACAGAGGGGUGGAGCUUCAUCAUAGAGUCCUCUAAGAUCAGCCCAUUUGAAUCUAUUGUUCUGUCCAGUGAAGAGGAAGAGGAAGAGGAAGGAGAGGAAAGAAAAGAGUUGAAUGCCUCUGCCCCAAAUAUCCAGCCACUGGAGGGUGCAAAAGACAUGAAUAUAGUAGAUAAAUCGAGUUCUGCUGAGAUGGAGCUGCAGCUGUCUUCCCUUCACAUGGGUGGAGUUAGUGCCCCUUGUGAGAGUAUGAAGAUCACUACAGACAAGAUCACCUUUUCAUUUAAAGAUUCUUCAGUGAACAUUUCUGUGUUGACGGCUAGUGUGUGUAAAUACAGUGUAUGGGAGGAGCCUGUACUGAAGGGGUGUGGCCUGGUUAAGGAAAACGAGGUCCCACCCCCUUAUCUGGUCUUCCUUUGGCUGUCUGAAGCCCAGGCACACCAAUUACACAAUGACCUGUCCGUCAUCCUGCCAGGCACAUGUCCAGCUGAAAGCAGUAGGUGUGUGUUGCUGUGUUUGGAUAAACCUGUAACUGGUGUUGAAAGUGCUGUCUUGGCCUCUUUAAUGGACAUAGUGGGUUUGAACCAGAACAGCUCUGAACUCCAUCCCCCCUCACACAGCCAGAAAGCCUGA